GACGAACGCUGGCGGCGUGCUUAACACAUGCAAGUCGAACGGAAAGGCCCUGCUUGCAGGGUACUCGAGUGGCGAACGGGUGAGUAACACGUGGGUGAUCUGCCCUGCACUUCGGGAUAAGCCUGGAAAACUGGGUCUCAUACCGGAUAGGAGCCCUUUUUAGUGUGAUGGUUGGAUAGUUUUUUCGGUGUAGGAUGAGCUCGCGGCCUAUCAGCUUGUUGGUGGGGUAAUGGCCUACCAAGGCGGCGACGGGUAGCCGGCCUGAGAGGGUGGACGGCCACAUUGGGACUGAGAUACGGCCCAGACUCCUACGGGAGGCAGCAGUGGGGAAUAUUGCACAAUGGGCGCAAGCCUGAUGCAGCGACGCCGCGUGGGGGAUGACGGCCUUCGGGUUGUAAACUCCUUUCGCUAGUGACGAAGCUUGUGUGACGGUACCUAGAAAAGAAGCACCGGCUAACUACGUG
rnacentral:rRNA from 1 species